rnacentral:lncRNA from 8 species
UCUUGUACCCCUAGCCCCUCCGCCCCAGGUCCAGUCUUGUACCCCUAGCCCCUCCGCCCCUGGUCCAGUCUUGUACCCCUAGCCCCUCCGCCCCAGGUCCAGUCUUGUACCCCUAGCCCCUCCGCCCCAGGUCCAGUCCUGUGCCCCUCCACCCCAGGUCCAGUCCUGUGCCCCUACCCCAGGUCCAGUCCUGUACCCCUAGCCCCUCCGCCCCAGGUCCAGUCUUGUACCCCUAGCCCCUCCGCCCAAGGUCCAGUCUUGUACCCCUCCGCCCCAGGUCCAGUCCUGUGCCCCUGUGCCCCUCCGCCCCAGGUCCAGUCCUGUGCCCCUCCGCCCCAGGUCCAGUCCUGUGCCCCUCCGCCCCAGGUCCAGUCCUGUGCCCCUCCGCCCCAGGUCCAGUCCUGUGCCCCUCCGCCCCAGGUCCAGUCCUGUGCCCCUCCGCCCCAGGUCCAGUCCUGUGCCCCUCCGCCCCAGGUCCAGUCCCGUGCCCCUCCGCCCCAGGUCCAGUCCCGUGCCCCUCCGCCCCAGGUCCAGUCCCGUGCCCCUCCGCCCCAGGCCCAGUCCCGUGCCCCUCCGCCCCCUAUCUAG